rnacentral:rRNA from 1 species
UACGGGGGGGGCAAGCGUUGUCCGGAAUCAUUGGGCGUAAAGCGCGCGUAGGCGGCCAGAUUAGUCCGGUGUGAAAGUCAGAGGCUCAACCUUUGAAUGCCGCUGGAAACUGUCUGGCUUGAGUCCGGAAGGGGCGAGUGGAAUUCCUGGUGUAGCGGUGAAAUGCGCAGAUAUCAGGAGGAACACCAAUGGCGAAGGCAGCUCGCUGGAACGGUACUGACGCUGAGGCGCGAAAGCGUGGGGAGCAAACAGG